GCUAGUUUAGCUCAGUUGGUAGAGCAAUUGAUUCGUAAUCAAUGGGUCGGGGGUUCGAUACCUCUAACUAGCACCA
rnacentral:tRNA from 1 species